rnacentral:antisense_RNA from 1 species
CUCUGCGGUGGAACGAGAGGGGGACGCGUACGCGCGUGCUGGGAUUUUUCGGCCAGUCUGUCAACCCCCUUUCGUUCUGCCACCAUU